AGUGAACGCUGGCGGUAGGCCUAACACAUGCAAGUCGAACGGCAGCACAGUAAGAGCUUGCUCUUACGGGUGGCGAGUGGCGGACGGGUGAGGAAUACAUCGGAAUCUACUUUUUCGUGGGGGAUAACGUAGGGAAACUUACGCUAAUACCGCAUACGACCUACGGGUGAAAGCAGUGGAUCUUCGGACCUUGCGCGAUUGAAUGAGCCGAUGUCGGAUUAGCUAGUUGGCGGGGUAAAGGCCCACCAAGGCGACGAUCCGUAGCUGGUCUGGGAGGAUGAUCAGCCACACUGGAACUGAGACACGGUCCAGACUCCUACGGGAGGCAGCAGUGGGGAAUAUUGGACAAUGGGCGCAAGCCUGAUCCAGCCAUACCGCGUGGGUGAAGAAGGCCUCCGGGUUGUAAAGCCCUUUUGUUGGGAAAGAAAAGCAGCAGGUUAAUACCCCGCUGUUCUGACGGUACCCAAAGAAUAAGCACCGGCUAACUUCGUG
rnacentral:rRNA from 1 species